GGGGAGGUGGCUCAGUGGUAGAGCACUUGCCUUGCAUGCAUGAAGCCCUGGGUUCGAUUCCUCGGCACCACA
rnacentral:tRNA from 1 species